CCUCGAACAAUCAUGUCAGUGGAAAGCCAAAACCUGAAUAACAUACAUGUCAUAACGUUACAUUACUAACGGAGAUUUUGUGAAUCGUAAAGGAUCUUGUACAAAAUAUUGAAGUAUUUUUGUACAUUGGUUGUUUGAAAUAAAACACUCUUUUGUGGACGUAAAUAGAUGCGAUUGUUAUUCAACGGAUUACUAUAUACAAGCUAUGUGGACACCAGUUCAUGCUGUUUAUAUAAUCUGCAUUCUCCUCGUGGCUCCUUCAGCUAGUGAAAACGAUCUCAACGAUCAUAACUACAAUUGCAAUGCUGAUCACUAUGGAUCUUUCUGUAAUAUGACAUGCUCGGAUACAUGCCUAUAAUUUUGCCAUUCUUUGGAAGAGUUUGCGACGUCUUCAAUGGCUCGUGUACCUACGGAUGUGAUGACAGAAAAAUCUAUGGGCCUUUUUGUAAUAUGACAUGUCCGGGUACAUGCUUCCCGCCAUUGUUUCCAUCAUUUCAAAGAUUUUGCGACGUCCUGAAUGGCUCGUGUUCCAAUGGCUGUACUAACGACAGACGCUAUGGGCCUUUUUGUAAUAUAUGGUGUCCAAAAACAUGCAAAGAGGCGAAAUCCAGCAGAAAGUGUGACGUCUUUGAUUGCUCGUGCUCCAAAGGCUGUGCUAAAAACAACGCCUAUGGUCCUUUUUGUAAUAUGACGUGCCCAAAUACAUGCAAAGAGCCAAUUUUUGGCACAGACAGAAUAUGUUAGGUCUUCAGUGGCUCGUGUUCCAACGGCUGUACUGACAACAAUAAUUAUGGGCCUUUUUGUAAUAUGACGUGUCCUAAAGCAUGCAAAGAGUCGAAUGUUGACAUAGGCAGAAGUUGUGAGGUAGACAAUGGCACGUGUUCCAACGGCUGUGCUAACACCACCUUCUUUGGGCCUUUUUGUAAUAUGUCGUGUCCCAAAACAUGCAAAGAGCCGACGUUUGGCAUAAGAAGAUGGUGUGACGUUAUCAAUGGCUCGUGUGUCAACGGAUGUGCUGUCAGCAAUAACUAUGGGCCUUUUUGUAAUAUUACGUGUCCGGAUACGUGCAAUAAGGCAAAUGGCAGAGUAUGUGACGUAAUAGAUGGCUCAUGUUCCAACGGCUGUGCUAACAACAGCUACUAUCUGCCUUUUUGUAAUAUGACUUGUCCGGAGACGUGUAAUGUGGCGAUUGGCAGAGUAUGUGACGUAAAAGAUGGCUCAUGUUCCAACGGCUGUGCUAACAACAGCUACUAUCUGCCUUUUUGUAAUAUGACUUGUCCGGAUACGUGCAAGGAGGCGAGUGGCAGAGUAUGUGACGUAAAAGAUGGCUCAUGUUCCAACGGCUGUGCUAACAACAGCUAUUCUCUGCCUUUUUGUAAUAUGACUUGUCCGAAUACGUGCAAUAAGGUGAUUGGCAGAGUAUGCGACGUAACAGAUGGCUCAUGCUCCAGCGGCUGUGCUAACAACAUUUACUAUGCGCCUUUUUGUAAUAUGACUUGUCCGGAUACGUGCAAUGAUGCGAUUGGAAGAGUAUGUGACGUAAAAGAUGGCUCAUGUUCCAAUGGCUGUGCUAACAACAGCUACUAUCUUCCUUUUUGUAAUAUGACUUGUCCGGAUACGUGCAAUGAGGCAAACGGCAGAGUAUGUGACGUAAUAGAUGGCUCAUGUUCCAACGGCUGUGCUAACAACAGCUUCUUUAUGCCUUUUUGUAAUAUGACUUGUCCGGAUACGUGCAAAAAGGCGAUUGGCAGAGUAUGCGACGUAACAGAUGGCUCAUGUUCCAACGGCUGUGCUAACAACAUUUACUAUGGGCCUUUUUGUAAUAUUACGUGUCCGGAUGCGUGCAAUAAGGCAAACGGCAGAGUAUGUGACGUAAUAGAUGGCUCAUGUUCCAACGGCUGUGCUAGCAACAGCUACUGUCUGCCUUUUUGUAAUAUGACUUGUCCGGAUACGUGCAAUGAGGCGAUUGGCAGAGUAUGUGACGUAACAGAUGGCUCAUGUUCCAACGGCUGUGCUAACAACAGCUACUAUAUGCCUUUUGUAAUAUGACUUGUCCGGAUACGUGCAAAAAGACGAGUGGCAGAGUAUGUGACGUAAUAGAUGGCUUGUGUUUGAACGGAUGUGUCGAUAGCUUUUAUGGGACUUAUUGCAAUAUGACUUGUCCGAAUACAUGCUUCAAUGCGACUGAAAGAGUAUGUUACGUCUUUAACGGCUCGUGUUCGCAAGGCUGUGCACACGGUUUUUAUGGCUCUCACUGCGAUAUGAUGUGCCCAAAAAAUUGCAGAAACAUGGCAGAUAUGCCCUCUUGUCAUUUUGAAGAUGGAAGUUGCCUGGCGGGAUGUCUGGAUGGAUUCUAUGGACUAAAAUGUUUAGAUGUGCUGCGAUUAUUGUGUAAAUAAUACAUGUUACCAAGAAGACGGUGUCUGCUUUGAAGGAUGCGUUGAGGGACACAGAUAUAACGUUGAUGUUUUAAAGUGCUUACAUGAUCCAAUACACUUGAAAGAGGAAAAUAAUAAGAAAAGUGGUGCUUCCAAUCCAUUCCCCGUUCCUACACUAGUUGGAAUCAUUGGCGGAGUAGUUGGAGUGGUUGGAGUAGUGGUAGUUUUUGGCGCGUUAUUCGUCGUCGAUCGAAACAGAAGAAAAAAUGCGUCGCGAACGUCUGAAUUAUUAAAAAUGCAAGCAAGGAUAAAUUCAACCGAAGUGACGUACGAAGUGGAAUCAGUCAAAAGGAAACGACCUGACAGCAUCAUGUAUGGUUCAGACGAAGUGAAAUCGGUCGAAUCGGAACGACCUGACAGCAUCAUGUAUGGUUCAGACGAAGUGAAAUCGGUCGAGUCGAAAUAAAUUGAAAACACCAUAGAUGGUUCAGAUAAAGUGAAAUCGGGAAAGAUGACACAAACAUGUAUGAUUAUCUAAUUUCAUGGACAUUUUGCAAAACUCUGUUAAGAAGGAAGCGAAAAAGACAAAAUAUUAUAGAAAGCUCUGUUGAAGAUUGAAAUAUGAUAGCGAUGGGUCCCACAAUGAAAGUCUUGCUAUAUAGAUCAAGCAGGGAACACCUCGCCAAUUUCAGUGCUACAUUAUUGUACAUGUACUAUUAACAAUAAAUUAAAUAAUGCAUUAAUUCUAAGGAUAAACCAAGAACUUAACCAUGUCUUCACAGUUCAAAACAGUGGUACUUUUCUUCGAAUGUGUGCUUCGAAUGUUUGCUUUAAUGUUUGCUUGAAUGUUUUGUAAUUUUUGUUAAAUUUUUUGAUAUGACAACGACUUGGAAAAGAUACAUGUAUCGGUAAUGAUAUUAGUUGCUGAUCGCCAUUAUGCAAGUAUUUUUCAAAUGGCUUUAAAGACAUUUUAGCUUGAAUGUGAUUUAUUUUAAAUACGAUUGUUUUCGUAUAAAUAGCAUUAAAUUGUAGAAUUUAUUCCUGAACGUUUGAAUAACCAAAACAAGAAUUCAACCCUUCGUUUUAGUAAAAUUAUGCGUGACGCAAUACAAAUUUAUAUUCAACUAGUGAAAGGGGCGUUCAUUUUUAUUCUGAAAAGCAGGGUUGAAAGUUGAACGUUGAAACCAAAAUAUAACAAAACUAUACCAGUCAAUGUUAUAUCAAGUCGUUUGAAGUUGCUUGCUAAACAUAUUUAUGCUGGUUUUAUAUUAUAUUUUAUAUAGAUCUAUGAUAAAACGAACCAUGACCAACUCAAAGGGACUUCGCUUUUACUUUUUUGUUUUCAUUACAUCUUUUGUAUAUUUCGAUUCUGAAUUAUUGAGUAAGGCUAUGACUUGUAGAAUGAGAAACAUACAUUAUACGAGGUGUAUUUUGUUUAAUUAAAAUUGAUAAAUUACGCAUUUUGCUUAAACAUGAUUAAGGAUGAAUCAAGAUGGUACACCACACGGCUAAUGGUUUGUGUGUAUUUAUUUAUUUAUUGAAUUUGCAACGUUUUACACAUCUUUGCUUUUUUUUUAUUUUUUGUGUUCAUGAAAUAAAAAUUUAAAUAAAGACUUAA